rnacentral:rRNA from 1 species
CGGCGGACGGGUGAGUAACACGUGGAUAACCUACCUAUAAGACUGGGAUAACUUCGGGAAACCGGAGCUAAUACCGGAUAAUAUAUUGAACCGCAUGGUUCAAUAGUGAAAGACGGUUUUGCUGUCACUUAUAGAUGGAUCCGCGCCGCAUUAGCUAGUUGGUAAGGUAACGGCUUACCAAGGGGACGAUGCGUAGCCGACCUGAGAGGGUGAUCGGCCACACUGGAACUGAGACACGGUCCAG